AGAGUUUGAUCCUGGCUCAGAAUCGACGCUGGCGGCGCGCCUAACACAUGCAAGUCGAACGAGAAAGUGGAGCAAUCCAUGAGUAAAGUGGCGUACGGGUGAGUAACACGUGGAUUAUCUGCCCUUUUGUGGGGAAUACCGCUGGGAAACCGGCGACAAUACCGCAUAAGCCCGAGAGGGGAAAGCAACAAUGCGCAGAAGGAGGAGUCCGCGGUCGAUUAGUUAGUUGGCGGGGUAAAGGCCCACCAAGACUGUGAUCGAUAGCCGGCCUGAGAGGGCACACGGCCACACUGGCACUGAAACACGGGCCAGACUCCUACGGGAGGCAGCAGUGGGGAAUCUUGCACAAUGGGGGAAACCCUGAUGCAGCGACGCCGCGUGAGCGAUGAAGCCCCUCGGGGUGUAAAGCUCUUUCGGCAGGGAAGAUUAUGACGGUACCUGCAAAAGCAGCUGCGGCUAACUACGUGCCAGCAGCCGCGGUAAUACGUAGGCAGCAAGCGUUGUUCGGAGUUACUGGGCGU
rnacentral:rRNA from 1 species